UUAAAAAUUAAAACACACACACACACACUACUUACUCGUUACUUCAGCAAGUGUUUAUUGAUCAGGCACUAGGAAUUCAAAGCAAAAUACGGAGAUUGGCCUCACAGGACUUGCUGGUUCAGCAUCCCCAAUAGCACAGAGUUGCGGCUCAGUGGCA